GACGAACGCUGGCGGCGUGCCUAAUACAUGCAAGUAGAACGCAGUUGCGAACGGGAGAAUACUGCGUAGGUAACUGCCUGGUAGCGGGGGACAACUACUGGUAACGAUAGCUAAUACCGCAUACUACCAGAUGGACCUGCGUUGUAUUAGCUAGUUGGUGAGGUAACGGGUCACCAAGGCAACGAUACAUAGCCGGCCCUGGGGGGUGGACGGGCACAAUGGGACUGGGGCAAGGGCCAGACUCCUACGGGGGGGAGCAGUAGGGGAUCUUCGGCAAAGGGGGGAACCCUGACCGAGCAACGCCGCGGGAGUGAAGGAAGUUUUCGGAUCGUAAAGCUCUGUUGUUAAGGAAGCGUUACUUAACCAGAAAGGGACGGCUAACUACGUGCCAGCAGCCGCGGUAAUAC
rnacentral:rRNA from 1 species